CUUGGUCAUUUAGAGGAAGUAAAAGUCGUAACAAGGUUUCCGUAGGUGAACCUGCGGAAGGAUCAUUAAUGAAAUGAAUGUUGAGAAGGGUUGUAGCUGGCCUCCUGGGGCAUGUGCACACCUUGAUCAUGCAUCCAACUCUUACACCUGUGCACUUAUAUGUAGCUUGGGAUGAUUACGACAUUAGAAAUGAUGUUGAAUGCCCUAGCUAUGAAUUUUUACACACAUAUAUAAAAAGUUAUAGAAUGAAGUUAUAGCGUGUAACAACGUGAAUAUAUACAACUUUCAGCAACGGAUCCCUUGGCUCUCGCAUCGAUGAAGAACGCAGCGAAAUGCGAUAAGUAAUGCGAAUUGCAGAAUUCAGUGAAUCAUCGAAUCUUUGAACGCACCUUGCGCUCCUUGGUAUUCCGAGGAGCAUGCCUGUUUGAGUGUCAUGAAUAUAUCAACUGCUUUUAGCAUUUAGAUGAUAAAAGUGAAGUUGGAAUUGGAGGAUAAUUGCUGGCGUGACUUAGGUUGCUUGUUAGCUCCUCUUGAAAGUAUGAGCUUUUCUAAUAGAUCAUGGCUUAAUAACAUUAAUGUGAUAAGUAUCUACGUUAGAUGUUUGUAGCUAUGAGUUGGGUGACUUCAAUUAUGAAGGAGCUCCUAUAGAAAGGGAUGUCUUAGAAAUGAAGUGUCUCGGAAAUUUUUUUUGAGCCUUGUUUCUAAGGGGAAGACAAUAAUAUAUAUACAUCUGACCUCAAAUCAGGUAGGACUACCCGCUGAACUUAAGCAUAUCAAUAAGCGGAGGA
rnacentral:rRNA from 1 species